rnacentral:rRNA from 1 species
AUGCCUAUUUGGUCUCUUUGCCAUCUGCCAACAGAUGAUAAAGAGCCUGCAGCCUUUGCCGUCUGCCAGCAGAUGGCAAAGAGCCAUGCCCUUUGUCGUCUGCCAGCAGAUGGCAAAGAGCCAUGCCCUUUGCCAUCUGCCACUGACGGCAAAGGCCUCUUUGCCGUCCGCUACAAAAAACAGACGGCAAAGAAGGCCUUUGCCGACCCUGUCUUUGCCGGAGCUAUUUGCCGUCCGCGGCAGAUGGCAAAGGUCUUUGUCGUCCGCCAUCCCAGCCUUCGCCGUCCGCUAUGGCUGAUGGCAAAGUAG